CCUACGGGAGGCAGCAGUGGGGAAUCUUGCGCAAUGGGCGAAAGCCUGACGCAGCCAUGCCGCGUGAAUGAUGAAGGUCUUAGGAUUGUAAAAUUCUUUCACCGGGGACGAUAAUGACGGUACCCGGAGAAGAAGCCCCGGCUAACUUCGUGCCAGCAGCCGCGGUAAUACGAAGGGGGCUAGCGUUGCUCGGAAUUACUGGGCGUAAAGGGAGCGUAGGCGGAUAGUUUAGUCAGAGGUGAAAGCCCAGGGCUCAACCUUGGAAUUGCCUUUGAUACUGGCUAUCUUGAGUAUGGGAGAGGUUAGCGGAACUCCGAGUGUAGAGGUGAAAUUCGUAGAUAUUCGGAAGAACACCAGUGGCGAAGGCGGCUAACUGGCCCAUUACUGACGCUGAGGCUCGAAAGCGUGGGGAGCAAACAGGAUUAGAUACCCUGGUAGUCCACGCCGUAAACGAUGAGUGCUAGUUGUCGGCAUGCAUGCAUGUCGGUGACGCAGCUACGACAUAAGACACUCCGCCGUCGGGAGGUACGGUCGCGAAGAAUUAAACUACAAGAAGUAGUAGACGCGAGACGACGCGACGACGACGACGACGGAGGAGGAG
rnacentral:rRNA from 1 species